AUCAUCAACUUAGAACUCUCUAACUCUUUGGUGAUUUUUUGGCCAUAAAACUAGAAAAAAAAUCGCACCUCAAGCGGCUAAACUCCAAACAAAACCCAAAAAUCAGUGAGUUAGAAGAGAUUCGAGAGAGAAUCAUCAUAUUUGGAGGAGUGAUUAUGUUAAUUAUUUAUAAGGGAUUUGCUCUUAUGUUUGCAACCAAGAAUCUCCAACUUCCGUUCAUACAAGUAUACUGUUACUUAUGGCUACGGAGUCACAAGCAUUUUGGAAUGGGCGGUUUCGGAAAAGAGGGAUCUUCAGUUCAUCUCACCCGAGUACAUGGAUCUUUUGUUGCCUUCGUUUUCCCUUCACGGGAUAGUAUUGUUAAGGUUCGGUGGCGAUUUGUUUUGCAUGUGUAAAAUGUAGUCUGUAAUGGAUGUGUGUGUAUUGUAUGUAGAUUUACUUAAUAUUGCUGUUAUAUUGUAUGUAUAUUGCUUAAUAUUGCCUUUGUAUUGCAUAGAUAGUGUAUGCAUAUUGCCACCCUAUUGGAUGUAUAUUGUAGUACUAUUGCUAUCGUAUUAUCCUUAAAUUGCUCAAAUAUUGCCUCUAUAGUGCAAGUAUGUUGGCCUAAUAUUGCUAUUAUAUCGUAUGUCAAUGGCAUUUGGUCUAAUAACAGUCUCCACUUCGUUCAAAGUAAUCCUAAAUUCAAAUAUCAC